AUGAUAGACCGCUCGCCGCCGAGCUCGGAAACAAAACAGACUUGUUACCUGUGCAGUCCGUUUCCCAUGGAGCACGUGGGCGUGCAUGGCGGUGGCGACGCCGCGUUCCUUCGCGGCCUCGAGGCGCUGGAGGUGGACGUGGAGCAGCAAGAGGAGAUAAUCGACUUCGAGGCAGAGCCGCCGGGCUCUUCUGAAUCGGUCGAGAUCUCCGACCUCAGGAAGCGCAUGUGGAAGGACCAGAUGCGCCUCAUGAAGCUCGAGGGCCGCGCCGGGGCCAGGAGCGGUGCGCCGGCCGGGCGGCAGGAGGACCGGGAGGAGGACGGUCCCGAGGCGCGGUGCCGGCGGAAGGCGAUGCUCCGCGCGCAGGACGGCGUGCUCCGGUACAUGAUGAAGAUGAUGCAGGCCUGCAACGCGCGCGGGUUCGUGUACGGCGUGAUCGACGAGGCCGGCGAACCCACGUCCGGCUCCUCCGACAGCCUCCGCGGCUGGUGGAAGGACAAGGUCGUCUUCGACCGCACGGGCCCGAAGGCGCUGAUCACCGGCAGCUCCGCCGCCGACGGUAGCAGCAGCCCGCUAGGCCUGGCCUCCUACCUCCACCGCCUCCAGGGCAUCCAGGACAACACGCUGGGCUCCGUGCUCUCGGCGCUCCUCCAGCACUGCGAGCCGCCGCAGCGCAACUUCCCCCUUGAGCGCGGCCUGGCGCCGCCGUGGUGGCCGACGGGGAAGGAGCCGUGGUGGGGCACGCAGGGCGAGACGCAGGCCCACCAGGGCGCGCCGCCGUACCGGAAGCCGCACGACCUGAAGAAGGCGUGGAAGGUGUCCCUGCUGAGCGCGGUGAUCAAGCACAUGAGCCCGCGCUUCGACCAGAUGCGCAGGCUCGUGUGGCAGUCCAAGCGGCUGCAGCACAGGAUGAGCGCCAAGGAGUCCGACACCUGGUCCAAGGUGCUCCGGCAGGAGGAGGCGCUCAGCGACCGGCUCAAGAGCUCGCUUCGGAUCACGCCCCUCGACGACGACUACGACGGCGAGGGACUGGAGGACGGUCCGGAAGAUGUGGCGCGUGGCCCGCAUGACAAGCGCAAGUGCGAGGACGCCCUGAGCGGCAGCUCAGGUGGGAAGUGGCCCAGACCACGAGGCGGGAGCCGGGACCUGGCGGCGAUGGUACCCGGGCUCGUCGAGGAGAGCCAGAGCCCGAUCAAUGAGCUCAUGGAGCUGUACUACAGCUGCCUGCAGGGACGCGACGGGGAGGAGAAACACGAUGUGGCGGUGGUACCUCCAGGAGUGCCGGGAGGAGCCAAUGAUGUUGCACAGCAAUUCCUGCUCGAUGUCAUCGGGAGCUGCCCGGAAGUAGAUCAUGUGUUGCGUUUGAUGGAGGAGUGA
rnacentral:rRNA from 1 species